rnacentral:rRNA from 1 species
GUGGGGAAUAUUGGACAAUGGGCGCAAGCCUGAUCCAGCCAUACCGCGUGGGUGAAGAAGGCCUUCGGGUUGUAAAGCCCUUUUGUUGGGAAAGAAAGCCUGUCGAUUAAUACUCGGUGGGGAUGACGGUACCCAAAGAAUAAGCACCGGCUAACUUCGUGUCAGCAGCCGCGGUAAUACGAAGGGGGCAAGCGUUACUCGGAAUUACUGGGCGUAAAGCGUGCGUAGGUGGUGGUUUAAGUCUGCUGUGACAGCCCUGCGCUCAACCUGGGAAUUGCAGUGGAUACUGGAUCACUAGAGUGUGGUAGGGGGAUGCUGAAUUUCUGGUGUAGCAGUGAAAUGCGUAGAGAACAGAAGGAACAUCCGUGGCGAAGGCGGCAUCCUGGGCCAAUACUGACACUGAGGCACGAAAGCGUGGGGAGCAAACAGGAUUAGACACCCCAGUAGUCC